rnacentral:rRNA from 1 species
GACGAACGCUGGCGGCAGGCCUAAUACAUGCAAGUAGGACGAGUUGCGAACGUGAGAGUAACGCGUGGCAACCUGCCUGUUAGUGGGGGAUAACUACUGGAAACGAUAGCUAAUACCGCCUACUAUCGGCAGUGCGCAGAUGGGAUUAGCUAGUAGGUGGGGUAAAGGCUCACCUAGGCGACGAUCCCUAGCUGGUCUGAGAGGAUGACCAGCCACACUGGAACUGAGACACGGUCCAGACGCCUACGUGAGGCAGCAGUGGGGAAUAUUGCACAAUGGGCGCAAGCCUGAUGCAGCCAUGCCGCGUGUGUGAAGAAGGCCUUCGGGUUGUAAAGUACUUUCAGCGAGGAGGCGUUACCCGCAGAAGAAGCACCGGCUAACUCCGUGCCAGCAGCCGCGGUAAUUC